GGGUUCCGAGUUUUCAGGCUGGUUUGUUGACGCUGUCAACGGUUUGGCCGUAGCCGGGUUUGCGAGAGCAGCCCCCGAGCCUCUGCAUGGAGCGAGAGUGAAAGGGAAUUAGGCUUACACCUUUUUCCUAAUUGAUUUUGGUGGUUGAAUUGCCCAACACAAAUAAUUGGACUAACUAGUUUGCUCUAGUCUAUAAGUUCUACAUGUGCCAAAGGUUCACAAUAAGCCGAUGAAAAGACCAAGAAAGGGUUCAAACAAAGAGAGCAAAAGACAACCCAAAGGCACCCUGGUCUGGCGCACCGGACUGUCCGGUGUGCCACCGGACAGUGUCUGGUGCACCAGGGAACUCAACGAUGAACUUGCUACCUUCGGGAAAAUCAGAGGGCGCUCCGCUAUAAUUCACCGGACUGUCCGGUGAAGCACCAGACAGUGUCUGGUGCCACACCGGACUGUCCGGUGUGCCAGCGGACCAACGACUACUUCGCGCGCAACGGUCGACUGUAACGCAUUUAAUACGCGCCUGCGCGCGCAGAUGACAGAGCACGCGCAGUUGGCGCACCGGACAGUCUACAGGACCUGUCCGGUGCACCACCGGACAGCCCAGAGGCCCCACCAGUCAGAGCUCCAACGGUCGAACCCCAACGGCCUGCUGACGUGGCUGGCGCACCGGACAGUGUUCGGUGGCGCACCGGACUGUCCAGUGCGCCAUGCGACAACAGUCUUCCAACGGACAUAUUUUGGUGGUUGGGGCUAUAAAUACCCCAACCACCCCACAUUCAAUGGCAUACAAGUUUUCCACCUUCAACACAUUACAAGAGCUAUAGCAUUCAAUUUUAGACACAACCAAAGAGAUCAAAUCCUCUCCCAAGUCCGGAAUCACUCCAAAUCAAAUAGUGAUUAGAGAGAGCGACAUUUGUGUUCAUUUGAGCUCUUGCGCUUGGAUUGCUUCUCUUCUUUCUUAUUCUUCUUGUGAUCAAAACUCAAUUGUAACCAAGGCAAGAGACACCAAUUGUGUGGUGGUCCUUGCGGGAACUUUGUGUUCCGUUUGAUUGAGAAGAGAAGCUCACUCGGUCUAAGUGACCGUUUGAGAGAGGGAAAGGGUUGAAAGAGACCCGGUCUUUGUGACCACCUCAACGGGGAGUAGGUUUGCAAGAACCGAACCUCGGUAAAACAAAUCAUCGUGUCUCGCUCUUUAUUUGCUCACGAUUUGUUUUGCGCCCUCUCUCUCAGACUCGUUUAUAUUUCUAACGCUAACCCGGCUUGUAGUUGUGCUUAAGUUUAUAAAUUUCAGAUUCGCCCUAUUCACCCCCCUCUAGGCGACUUUCAAUUGGUAUCAGAGCCCGAUGCUUCAUUAGAGCCUAACCGCUCGAAGUGAUGUCGGGAGCAUCCGCAAGAGGGACAUCGGGACCGGCGAGAAGCCCGCCGCAAGCCAUGGGAAGGCUCCAUCCGGGGAGUCCGCCAACAAGGUGAAGGGAUCCCCUUCACACAACAAGUCGGGUCGGAGUGGUGACAAGAAGAAGAAGAUGAGGAAGGUGGUCUACUACGAGACCGACUCCUUGUCGCCAUCCACCUCCGGCUCCGACACGCCGUUCGUGACUUCUAAGCGCCAUGAGCGCAAGAAGUUUAGUAAGAUUCCCCUACGCUACCCUCGCAUUUCCAAACGUACUCCUUUACUUUCCGUCCCAUUAGGCAAACCACCUAUGUUUGAUGGUGAAGAUUAUAAUAUGUGGAGUGAUAAAAUGAGGCAUCAUCUAACCUCACUCCACACUAGCAUUUGGGAUGUUGUUGAGAUUGGAGUACAGGUACCAUCACCGGGGGAUGAAGACUAUGAUUCGGACGAGGUCGCCCAAAUCUGACAUUUCAACUCCCAAGCCACCACUAUACUCCUCGCCUCUCUAAGUCGAGAGGAGUAUAACAAAGUGCAAGGAUUAAAGAGCGCCAAGGAGAUUUGGGACGUACUCAAGACCGCGCACGAAGGAGAUGAGGUGACCAAAAUCACCAAGCGGGAAACGAUCGAGUGGGAGCUCGGUCGGUUCCGACUCAACCAAGGCGAGGACCCUCAAGCAAUGUACAACCGGCUCAAGGCCUUGGUGAACCAAGUGCGCAACCUCGGGAGCACAAAAUGGGAUGACCAUGAAAUAGUCAAGGUUAUUCUUAGAUCACUUGUUUUUCUUAACCCUACACAAGUGCAAUUAAUUUGUGGCAAUCCUAGAUAUACACUAAUGUCUCCCGAGGAAGUGAUAGGAAAUUUUGUGAGCUUUGAGUUAAUGAUCAAAGGCUCAAAGAAAAUCAUCGAGCUAGAUGGUCCCUCCAUGCCCGAAGCACAACCGGUCGCAUUCAAGGCGACGGAGGAGAAGAAAGAGGAGUUUACAUCAAGUAGACAACCCAUUGAUGCCUCUAAGCUCGACAAUGAGGAGAUGGCGCUCAUCAUCAAGAGCUUCCGCCAAAUCCUCAAGCAAAGGAGGGGGAAAGAUUACAAGCCCCGUUCCAAGAAGGUGUGCUACAAGUGUGGUAAGCCCGGUCAUUUCUUUGCUAAAUGUCCAUUAUCUAGUGAUAGUGACAGGGGCGAUGACAAGAAGGGCAAAAGGAGAGAAAAGAAGAGGUACCACAAGAAGAGGGACGGUGAUGCCCAUGUAUGCCGCGAGUGGGACUCCGACGAGAGCUCCUUCGACUCCUCCUCCGACGAGAACGCCGCCAACAUCGCCAUCACCAAGGGCCUCCUCUUCCCAAACGUCGACCACAAGUGCUUCAUGGCAAAGGACGGCAAAAAGAAAAAGGUGAAAUCAAAAUCCUCCACUAAAUAUGCAUCCUCUAGUGAUGAAGAUAAUGCUAGUGAUGAGGAGGAUAAUUUGCGUACCCUUUUUGCCAACCUAAACAUGCAACAAAAGGAAAAACUAAAUGAAUUAAUUAGUGCUAUUCAUGAGAAGGAUGAUCUCUUGGACUCUCAAGAGGACUUCCUAAUUAAGGAAAAUAAGAAGCAUGUUAAGGUUAAGAAUGCUUAUGCUCUAGAAGUAGAAAAAUGUGAAAGAUUAUCUAGUGAGCUAAGCACAUGCCAUGAUAAGAUUACCAACCUUAGAAAUGAGAAUGCUAGUUUAAUUGCUAAGGUUGAUUCAAAUGUUUGUGAUGCUUCAAUUCUCAAUCUUAGAGAUAAUAAUGUUGAAUUACUUGCUAAGAUUGAAGAAUUAAAUGUUUCUCUUGCUAGCCUUAGGAAUGAUAAUGAAAAAUUAAUUGCUAAGGCUAAAGAAGUAGAUGUUUGCAAUGUUACAAUUUCCGAUCUUAGAGAUAACAAUGAUAUUUUAUGUGCUAAGAUUGUUGAACUUAAUGCUUGCAAACCCUCUACAUCUACCAUUGAGCAUGUCACUAUUUGCACUAGAUGUAGAGAUGUUAACAUUGAUGCUAUUCAUGAUCAUACGACUUUAAUUAAACAACAAAAUGAUCAUAUAGCAAAAUUAGAUGCUAAAAUUGCCGAGCAUAACUUAGAAAAUGAAAAAUUUAAAUUUGCUAGAAGCAUGCUCUAUAAUGGGAGAUGCCCUGGCAUCAAGGAUGGCAUUGGCUUCCAAAAGGGGGACAAUGUCAAACUUAAUGCCCCUCCUAAAAGAUUGUCUAAUUUUGUUAAGGGCAAGGCUCCCAUGCCUCAGGCUAACGAGGGUUACAUUUUAUAUCCUGCCGGUUAUCCCGAGAGCAAAAUUAGGAGAAUUCAUUCUAGGAAGUCUCACUUUGGCCCUAAUCAUGCUUAUAUGUAUAAGGGUGAGACAUCUAGUUCUAGGCAAUCAACCCGUGCAAAAUUGCCUAAGAAGAAAACUCCUAUUGCAUCAAAUGAUUCUAAAAUUUCUUUUAAAACUUUUGAUGCAUCUUAUGUUUUAACUAACAAAUCCGGCAAGGUAGUUGCCAAGUAUGUUGGGGGCAAGCACAAGGGGUCAAAGACUUGUGUUUGGGUACCCAAAGUUCUUGUGUCUAAUGUCAAAGGACCCAAAACCAUUUGGGUACCUAAAAUCAAGAACUAAAUUUGUUUUGUAGGUUUAUGCAUCCGGGGGCUCAAGUUGGAUCAUCGAUAGCGGGUGCACAAACCACAUGACAGGGGAGAAGAAGAUGUUCUCCUCCUACGAGAAAAACCAAGAUCCCCAACGAGCUAUCAUAUUCGGGGAUGGAAAUCAAGGUUUGGUCAAAGGAUUGGGUAAAAUAGCUAUAUCACCUGACCAUUCCAUUCCCAAUGUUUUUCUUGUAGAUUCUUUAGACUAUAACUUGCUUUCAGUUUCGCAAUUAUGUAAAAUGGGUUACAACUGUCUUUUUACGGAUGUAGGUGUUACUGUCUUUAGAAGAAGUGAUGAUUCAAUAGCAUUUAAGGGAGUGUUAGAGGGUCAGCUAUACUUAGUAGAUUUUGAUAGAGCUAAACUCGACACUUGCUUAAUUGCUAAGACUAACAUGGGCUGGCUCUGGCAACGCCGACUAGCACAUGUUGGAAUGAAGAAUCUUCACAAGCUUCUAAAGGGAGAACACAUUUUGGGACUAACAGAUGUUCAUUUUGAGAAAGACAGGAUAUGUAGCGCAUGUCAGGCAGGAAAGCAAGUUGGUGUUCAUCAUCCACACAAGAACAUCAUGACGACUGACAGACCACUCGAGCUCCUACACAUGGACCUAUUCGGCCCGAUUGCUUACAUAAGCAUCGGCGGGAGUAAGUACUGUCUAGUUAUUAUGGAUGAUUAUUCUUGCUUCACUUGGGUGUUCUUUUUGCAGGAAAAAUCUCAUACCCAAGAGACCUUAAAGGGAUUCUUGAGACGGGCUCAAAAUGAGUUCGGCUUAAGGAUCAAGAAAAUAAGAAGCGACAACGGGAUGGAGUUCAAGAACUCUCAAAUUGAAGGCUUCCUUGAGGAGGAGGGCAUCAAGCAUGAGUUCUCUUCUCCCUACACCCCACAACAAAAUGGUGUAGUGGAAAGGAAGAAUCGAACUCUAUUGGACAUGGCAAGAACCAUGCUUGAUGAGUACAAAACUUUGGAUCGGUUUUGGGCCGAGGCGGUCAACACCGCUUGCUACGCCAUCAACCGGUUAUAUCUACACCGAAUCCUCAAGAAGACAUCAUACGAACUCCUAACCGGUAAAAAGCCAAAUGUUUCAUAUUUUAGAGUCUUUGGUAGCAAAUGCUUUAUUCUUGUUAAAAGAGGUAGAAAAUCUAAAUUUGCUCCCAAGGCAGUAGAAUGUUUUUUACUAGGUUAUGAUUCAAACAUAAGGGCAUACAGAGUCUUUAACAAGUCCUCUGGAUUAGUUGAAGUCUCUUGUGACAUUGUGUUUGAUGAGACUAACGGCUCUCAAGUAGAGCAAGUUGAUCUUGAUGAAUUAGGUGAUGAAGAGGCUCCGUGCGUCGAGCUAAGGAACAUGUCCAUUGGGGAUGUGUGUCCUAAGGAAUCCAAAGAGCCUCCACAAACACAAGAUCAACCAUCUUCCUCCACACAAGCAUCUCCACCAACUCAAGAUGAGGAUAAGGCUCAAAAUAAUGAAGGAGAAGAUCAAGAAGUUGAGCCACCUCAAGAGGAGAGCAAUGAUCAAGGGGGAGAUGCCCAUGAUCAAGAUGAGGAAGAUGAACAAGUUCCAAGACCACCACACCCAAGAGUCCACCAAGCAAUCCAACGAGAUCACCCCAUGAACACCAUCCUCGGCGAUAUUUAAAAGGGGGUAACUACUCGAUCUCGUGUUGCUCAUUUUUGUGAACAUUACUCUUUUGUUUAUUCUAUUGAGCCACACAGGAUAGAGGAAGCACUUCAAGAUUCGGAUUGGGUGGUGGCAACGCAAGAGUUGCUCAACAACUUCACUAGGAACGAGGUAUGGCAUUUAGUUCCACGUCCUAAUCAAAAUGUUGUAGGAACCAAGUGGGUCUUCCGCAACAAGCAAGAUGAGCAUGGUGUGGUGACAAGGAACAAAGCCCGACUUGUGGCCAAGGGGUAUUCACAAGUCGAAGGUUUGGAUUUCAAUGAAACAUAUGCACCCGUAGCUAGGCUUGAGUCAAUUCGCAUUUUACUUGCCUAUGCUACUUACCAUGGCUUUAAGCUUUAUCAAAUGGACGUGAAAAGUGCCUUCCUCAAUGGACCAAUCAAGGAAGAGGUCUAUGUUGAGCAACCUCCCGGCUUUGAAGAUAGUGAGUACCCUAACCAUGUAUAUAAACUCUCUAAGGCGCUUUAUGGGCUCAAGCAAGCCCCAAGAGCAUGGUAUGAUUGCCUAAGAGAUUUUCUUAUCACUAAUGGCUUCAAAGUUGGAAAGGCCAAUCCUACUCUAUUCACUAAAACUCUUGACAAUGAUUUGUUUGUAUGCCAAAUUUAUGUUGAUGAUAUUAUAUUUGGGUCUACUAACAAAUCUACAUGUGAGGACUUUAGUAGGAUCAUGACACAAAAAUUCGAGAUGUCGAUGAUGGGGGAGUUGAAGUACUUCUUAGGAUUUCAAGUGAAGCAACUCCAAGAGGGCACCUUCAUUAGCCAAACGAAGUAUAAUCAAGACAUUCUAAACAAGUUUGGGAUGAAGGAUGCCAAGCCCAUCAAGACACCCAUGGGAACCAAUGGGCAUCUCGACCUCGACACGAGAGGUAAAUCCGUCGAUCAAAAGGUAUACCGGUCGAUGAUAGGCUCUUUACUCUAUUUUUGUGCAUCUCGACCGGACAUAAUGCUUUCUGUAUGCAUGUGUGCAAGAUUCCAAGCCGACCCUAAGGAAGCUCACCUUACGACCGUAAAACGAAUCUUGAGAUAUUUAGUUCAUACUCCUAAGUUUGGGCUUUGGUACCCUCGAGGAUCCACAUUUGAUUUAAUUGGUUAUUCGGAUGCCGAUUGGGCGGGGUGUAAAAUUAAUAGAAAGAGCACAUCGGGGACUUGCCAGUUCUUGGUAAGGUCCCUGGUGUCUUGGGCUUCAAAGAAGCAAAAUUCCAUAGCUCUUUCUACCGCCGAAGCCGAGUAUAUUGCCGUAGGUCAUUGUUGCGCGCAAUUGCUUUGGAUGAGGCAAACCCUUAGGGACUACGGUUACAAAUUAACCAAAGUUCCUCUUCUAUGUGAUAAUGAGAGUGCAAUCCGCAUGGCGGAUAAUCCUGUUGAGCAUAGCCGCACUAAACACAUAGCCAUUCGGUAUCAUUUUCUUAGGGAUCACCAACAAAAGGGGGAUAUCGAGAUUGCUUAUAUUAACACCAAGGAACAAUUAGCCGAUAUCUUUACCAAGCCACUAGAUGAACAAACUUUUAACAAACUUAGGCAUGAGCUAAAUAUUCUUGAUUCUCGAAAUUUCUUUUGAUGAUUUGCACACAUAGCUCAUUUAUAUACCUUUGAUCAUGUCUCUUUUAUAUGCUAUGACUAACGUGUUUUCAAGUAUAUUUCAACCCAAGUCAUAGAUUGAAAGGGAAUUCGAGUCUUCGGCGAAGACAAAGGCUUCCACUCCACUCCAUUGACUCACUCAUCCUUCGCCGUCGCUCCGAGCAACUCUCCAUCUUUGGUAUAAUCUUCACUCAUAUUUUGUUUGCCAAAGGGGAGAAAGUAGUUACAAAAGGGCUUGUAUUUCACUCAAGUAUCCGUUUUUGGCGAUUCAUGCCAAAGGGGAGAAAGUAUUAGCCCAAAGCAAAAGGACCGCACCACCACCAUUUUUCAAAAUUUGAAGUUUUGAAAUAAUAAAUUUUCUCAAUUGGUAUCCUAUUUUUGAUAGAAUUUCAAAUUGGAACACCCUCUUCAAAAACUAAUAUCUAAAACCCUCUUGAAUACUAAGAGGAGGAUUUCACUAAGGGGGAGUUUUGUUUAGUCAAAGGAAAAGCAUUUGAAACAGGGGGAGAAAAUUUCAAAUCUUGAAAAUGCUUCUCAAAAUCUUAUUCAUUUACCUUUGACUAUUUGCAAAAGGACUUUGAAAAGAAUUUACAAAAGGAUUUGCAAAAACAAAACAUGUGGUGCAAGCAUGGUCCAAAAUGUUAAAAAUAUAAAGAAACAAUCCAUGCAUAUCUUAUGAGAAUUUAUUGGUUCAAUUCUAAGUAACCUUUGUACUUACAUUUUGCAAACUAGUUCAAUUAUGCACUUCUAUAUUUGCUUUGGUUUGUGUUGGCAUCAAUCACCAAAAAGGGGGAGAUUGAAAGGGAAUUAGGCUUACACCUUUUUCCUAAUUGAUUUUGGUGGUUGAAUUGCCCAACACAAAUAAUUGGACUAACUAGUUUGCUCUAGUCUAUAAGUUCUACAGGUGCCAAAGGUUCACAAUAAGCCGAUGAAAAGACCAAGAAAGGGUUCAAACAAAGAGAGCAAAAGACAACCCAAAGGCACCCUGGUCUGGCGCACCGAACUGUCCGGUGUGCCACCGGACAGUGUCUGGUGCACCAGGGAACUCAACGAUGAACUUGCUACCUUCGAGAAAAUCAGAGGGCGCUCCGCUAUAAUUCACCGGACUGUCCGGUGUGCCAGCGGAGCAAUGGCUACUUCGCGCGCAAUGGUCGACUGCA
rnacentral:lncRNA from 1 species